ACAAUGAGCAAGUGGUGCUAACUGCAAGGUGACCUUGGCAAUACAUCUCCAUGCAGAGAGAACACCUUCUUAAGCUCUGUGUUUUCAGUGCCUUUGAAAGUUAACCUUGUUCAUCAGGAUGAAUAAUUAGGUCUGGAGCACGUACUGAAGCUUCCGCAGUCUGCUUCCUUGAGACCUGUAAGUAUCACCUGAGGAAGAAGUGAUUUCAUUUCUUCAUUUGAUUGUGGGACUAAAUCUACCUUAAUGCUCUUACCCUGAAACACACUGUCUUUUUAGAAGCAGUUGGGUAGACACACUUGUUAAUUUGUCUUGCCGUUGAGGACUUGUUUGACCUUGCCUACUCUCCUGAGGAGCUUGGCUUAGUUUAAUUUUUGCUUAGUUUGUCUAAAGCACUUGUGAUGCUCCUUUUCAAAUGGUGCUAUAUAAAUGCAAAUUGAUUGUUUGAUCAUUGAAGCUAUAAAAAUACCAUGUACAAAAUGGAAAAAAUGCAGUUAAGGCUUAAAUAGUGAAGUCCAUCUAUGGCCAGGUAAUCACCUUCCACCAGUGUAUACAUUUUCAUUGCACAUGGCAAUUAAGCUGUCAGCUUAGGAAACACAUUAACUACAUAAAACAGCAAGGUACUGAGAAUUUAUAUUAUUAGACCUUCAUUUGAAGCUUUUGCACAUAGACCUUUUGCUACAGCUAUGGCUUGACUUUAAUGGGUACCAGUAAGAUUAACACCAAUGGAACUGUCCUGUCUACAAACAGCAUUGAUCCAACAUGAUGACCGUGGCCAAGGUCGCUAGAUUGUUUUUUUCUGACUUUUUUUACCAUAGAUUAAACAGUUCCAUACUUUUUCAAUUGCACAUAAAGGUUAUUUUACUGCAUCAGUAUACAAAUGGACUAGUGUUCAACAUGGAAUAAGCUUCAGUGAGGUCAGGAGUUUAAGGCAUAUGCCAGCCUCAAGUUCUGAAGAUGUACUUUGCUCACAUACCUUUGCAACCGCAAGUCACAGUUGGAAGCUGCAUCUCUGACUGGAGACUUUAUUGCCAAUCUGGUGAAUCUAGGUGAAAGUUUGGUUCUAUGACAGAUAAGCACUUUUCCAUUUGGGAUAAUCUGUCUCAAGGUAAAUAAGGCAUUAGGUGUAGUGAAUCCACGCACUCACUCCUUCCUGGCCCAUCCUUAGCUACAGAACACCUUUGUUCUUGGUUCACUGACACUGCUUGCUACCACUUGUCUGAGGCAGUCACAUUUGGUGAUAAUAUUAUUUCUGCCAUCUUUAUUAUUCUUUUAAAAACCUACAACUUUCAUUUUUUUUU